rnacentral:piRNA from 1 species
UAAAUUUGAAGACAGCCGGUUUCCCCCGGG